AAACCAACAGGGAUUACCUCAGUAACGGCGAGUGAAGCGGUAACAGCUCAAAUUUGAAAUCUGGCCGCAAGGUCCGAGUUGUAAUUUGUAGAGGAAACUUCGGGCGCGGUCCGGUCUAAGUUCAUUGGAACAUGACGUCAUAGAGGGUGAGAAUCCCGUAUGUGACUGGGUGCCGCUGUCCAUGUGAAGCUCCUUCGACGAGUCGAGUUGUUUGGGAAUGCAGCUCUAAAUGGGUGGUAUAUUUCAUCUAAAGCUAAAUAUUGGCCAGAGACCGAUAGCGCACAAGUAGAGUGAUCGAAAGAUGAAAAGCACUUUGGAAAGAGAGUUAAACAGUACGUGAAAUUGUUGAAAGGGAAGCGCUUGCAACCAGACUUGCGCCCUAGUAAUCAUCCGGUGUUCUCACCGGUGCACUUGCUAGGGCUCAGGCCAGCAUCGGUUUCGGCGGUUGGAUAAAGGCAUUGGGAAUGUAGCUUCCUUCGGGGAGUGUUAUAGCCCUUUGUGCAAUGCAGCCCGCUGGGACCGAGGACCGCGCUUCGGCUAGGAUGCUGGCGUAAUGGUUGUAAGCGAC
rnacentral:rRNA from 1 species